AUGAAACUGGAGCCCAUUAUACAGAGCGAAAUACGUCUGGAAGCAGUAAUGAUAAUAAGACAAGCGGAUUGAAAAAGAAUGAAACGAAAAAUGGACUCACAGGAAUUAUGGUCUACAGACAUCUUAAAGACUACCUUCUAACUGAAGAACAGUUACGUGAAAAUAACUACCCCUAGCCCAACCCUGAAAAAUCAGAAAGUCUUCUUUUAAACCCAGGCAUGACAAAAGCUCGUGUAAAUGAUCAUAAGUAUAUGGAUCUGAAAACUGCCCUUUCUGGGUACUGAGACUGGAGCCGUAAGAGUCCCAAUGUUCUCAUAUUUUCCCUUGGAAACAAGAAUUGUGGCUAGCAUCAUUAAACCACAGGAAGACCUGCUGUCAAUGUGGGAAGAUCUACGGUGUGACUUCUACAGGCAGACACAGAAGGACAGAGGGAUGUCACUACCACUUUGACCAAGUGUUGAGUCAUAAAGCCAAAGGUUUGAAACUUACCUGAGUGACGGUGAUGGAUCCCAGCCUCCAGGUGGUCUGUGAUACAUUUGUGAAACCAGAUGAAGAGGUCAUUGACUGUAACACUAGGUUUUCUGGUGUGGUUGAAGAUGACUUGAAGAACAUGAAGACCUCAGUCCGUGAUGUGCAAACUAUCUUAUUGAACCUCUUCAGUGCUGACACUAUACUAAUUGGACAUAGCUUUGAGCACAGUCUCUCUGCACUUAAGGGUUGUUUCUGCUGCUACAGUUCCUGCUGCUGCCAUCAGUUUUCUUAUUCUUUGGGAAGAAUUUCUAAGGAGGUUGCCUCUUUCAUUUGACAGUUAAUUCAUGCUUCGGUUGUGGACACGACAGUUCUGUUCCCUCAUCCGCUAGGCUUGCCUCACAAAAGAUCCCGGGAGGGUUUAGUGGCUGACUGCCUGCAGAGAGUCAUUCACCAUGAAGGUAAGAGCCUGCUUGCUCAUGAUAAACGUCCAGCUCCAGAUCUGACGGGAGUGAAUACAUCAUGAGGUUUAUGGUAAAGGUCCCCUGUUUGAAAUACUUCUCAGUGGGUUAUCUCCUAGGGUAGAGAAUCCCCAAGUAUCUGUUUAAGUAAAAUGUGUUCCAUGCCCACCACCUGGCAUAGACCUAGAUGUGGCACAGGCAUCAAAACUGGGGCAGACUGGUGACCUUGGAAUUUAUACAUAAAACUUUUGUUGGCCUAGAGGUCUAAUUCCAUCCUAAAUGUUGCUGUGUACCUCUUUGCAAAUGUGAUUUUCAUUAAACCUGAUGAGAGUCUAAAAUUGAUUGGGUCCGAGUUAUCUCAGUGGCGCUAGUGGUAAAGAACCCACCUGCCAGUGCAGGAGACGUAAGAGUCAUGAGUUCCGUCCCU